GAUGAACGCUGGCGGCGUGCUUAACACAUGCAAGUCGAACGAAACACUUACAAUUGAUUCUUCGGAUGGAAGAGUUUGUGACUGAGUGGCGGACGGGUGAGUAACGCGUGGGUAACCUGCCUCAUACAGGGGGAUAACAGUUAGAAAUGACUGCUAAUACCGCAUAAGCCCACAGCUCCGCAUGGAGCAGAGGGAAAAGGAGCAAUCCGCUUUGAGAUGGCCUCGCGUCCGAUUAGCUAGUUGGUGAGGUAACGGCCCACCAAGGCAACGAUCGGUAGCCGGACUGAGAGGUUGAUCGGCCACAUUGGGACUGAGACACGGCCCAG
rnacentral:rRNA from 1 species